AUACUUGCCUGGAGGUAGAAAUACCAUGAUGAAGGUGGUAGUUUUUCCAAGAGCAAGGCUCAUCUGUUGUACUUGGUAUGUGUUGUCCCUGUGAUUUCCCAAAUGUGAGAAACUCCAUUGAAAAAUUUGUGGUAAUGAGGGACUGUGCUCAAAUUCUCCCCUG
ensembl:snRNA U1 U1 spliceosomal RNA